rnacentral:rRNA from 1 species
AGAGAUGGAUUGGUGCCUUCGGGAACUCUGACACAGGUGCUGCAUGGCUGUCGUCAGCUCGUGUCUGGGAUGUUCGGGUUAAGUCCGUAACGAGCGCAACCCUUGUCCUUAGUUACCAGCACGUUAUGGUGGGCACUCUAAGGAGACUGCCGGUGACAAACCGGAGGAAGGUGGGGAUGACGUCAAGUCAUCAUGGCCCUUACGGCCUGGGCUACACACGUGCUACAAUGGUCGGUACAAAGGGUUGCCAAGCCGCGAGGUGGAGCUAAUCCCAUAAAACCGAUCGUAGUCCGGAUCGCAGUCUGCAACUCGACUGCGUGAAGUCGGAAUCGCUAGUAAUCGUGAAUCAGAAUGUCACGGUGAAUACGUUCCCGGGCCUU